ACUCGAGACCAAUCCGCUUCUCCCUGAUUGAAUGCUACAGAUGACUCCUCUGUUUAGAAUGCCCGGGUAAUCUAUCUAUCUAUCUAUCAUGUAUAAUGCUUCCUGAUUUCAAUGAACGGUGCUUCAAAGACCUGACCGGUUACAUAUUGCUCUGCCUAUGUUGUUCCAUGCUUAAGCUCGAACAGAUGGAGGCUGAGUGAACGUAACUGGAAUUGCAGAAGAAACAACCCAUUUCAGUCCUGUCGAUUGGUUGGAUCUUUGAGGGUAAAAACACCUGCUUUGAAAAAUCAACUGAUGCCACCCUAAUGAAAAUGGAAAAAAACUGUAAAUUAAUUUUCUAA